rnacentral:tRNA from 1 species
GCCCAACUCAUCGUCUAGUGGUUAGGACGUCACGUUGUGGCCGUGACAACCCCGGUUCAAAUCCGGGUAGUGACU